ACUAAAAUAGGAGCAACUCAAAAAUUAAAACGAAGAAGAAAAUAAAAAUAAAACGAGAAACCGUUUUACACGAGCUCAGCAAGACUGCAUCCUCUCCCAACAAUGAAAAAUGCCCGGAUACCUCUUCAUAAUGCCCAGGGUGGUCCCAACUGUGUCGACCAUCUCUUGUCGGUACGACUUGGCAGAGAUCACUGCAGCAGGCAGGAACACAGUUCCCCUCAAUCAGCAGUUUCCAGCAGUUUCAAUUUCACAGCACAGAAGAGAAGGUGAUAUCUGGCUCCGUGCUGUAAACACACUGUGAGCUGGAUGCUGCUGAUAUGUACACAAAAAAGAUGGCACAUGUGUUGGCCAGAUGUGGUUACUAUUGUUGUAUUUGCUUUGCUGUGGUCAGUGAA